AAAUCCCUUAUGUUCAGGAUUUUGUGACCGUUUAUCUCAGGAAAAUCCCAGCCACUAUUAGAAUGACCACUAAAGAAGAGAGAGAUAUUUUUAAUGAUAUUUUCCUCAGAUUCCCCACCUGCCUCUCAGGGGAAAAUGAGACUUUCCCAUUGGUCUAAUGAAGAUACUUCAGAAGAGACUCCAAACACCUAUCACCCAUUUGUUAAACAUGGCCUUUUCUGUAUUCAACAAUCAGAAUCUGGAGGAUGCUCAAAAAAGAAAAGAGUUCAAGUGUUCUUCACAUUUUCAAAGAGGAUAAAAAUGGACCCAAGAGAACCUGCUCAUCACCAUUGGCUGUCUUGUUCAGUUUCAGUCUUUGAGGAAAUAUGUCCCACUUCGGAUCAGGGAAUCCCGCGUACUUAUCUUCAGCUGGGAGAUGAAAUGACUAGUUGGAGAACAUCAGUAGCUCAAAUCCCCCAAAUUCCAUCCCAACAUGGUAAUUGCA
rnacentral:lncRNA from 1 species